rnacentral:rRNA from 1 species
GACGAACGCUGGCGGCGUGCUUAACACAUGCAAGUCGAACGGAAAGGCCCUGCUUGCAGGGUGCUCGAGUGGCGAACGGGUGAGUAACACGUGGGUGAUCUGCCCCUUACUUUGGGAUAAGCCUGGUAAACUGGGUCUAAUACUGGAUAGGACCAUGCUGUAGGUGGUGUGGUGGAAAGAUUAGUUUCGGUAAGGGAUGAGCUCGCGGCCUAUCAGCUUGUUGGUGGGGUAAUGGCCUACCAAGGCGUCGACGGGUAGCCGGCCUGAGAGGGUGGACGGCCACAUUGGGACUGAGAUACGGCCCAGACUCCUACGGGAGGCAGCAGUGGGGAAUAUUGCACAAUGGGCGCAAGACUGAUGCAGCGACGCCGCGUGGGGGAUGACGGCCUUCGGGUUGUAAACUCCUUUCAGCCAUGACGAAGCCCUUGUGGUGACGGUAGUGGUAGAAGAAGCACCGGCUAACUACGUG